GAUGAACGCUGGCGGUAUGCCUAACACAUGCAAGUCGUACGAGAGUUUUUAACUCUAGUGGCGGACGGGUGAGUAACACGUGAGAAUUUGCCUUUAGGAGGGGGACAACAAUCGGAAACGAAUGCUAAUACCCCAUAUGCUUUCGAGUGAAAUGGAUUUUAUCCGCCUAGAGAGAAGCUCGCGGCUGAUUAGCUUGUUGGUAAGGUAAGAGCUUACCAAGGCGACGAUCAGUAUCUGGUUUGAGAGGACGAUCAGACACACUGGAACUGAGACACGGUCCAGACUCCUACGGGAGGCAGCAGUGGGGAAUUUUCCGCAAUGGGCGAAAGCCUGACGGAGCAAUACCGCGUGAGGGAAGACUGCCUAUGGGUUGUAAACCUCUUUUUUCAGGGAGGAAUAAAAUGACGUGUACCUGAAGAAUAAGCAUCGGCUAACUCCGUG
rnacentral:rRNA from 1 species